UAGGGAAUCUUCCGCAAUGGGCGAAAGCUUGACGGAGCAACGCCGCGUGAGUGAUGAAGGUCUUCGGAUCGUAAAACUCUGUUAUUAGGGAAGAACAAAUGUGUAAGUAACUAUGCACGUCUUGACGGUACCUAAUCAGAAAGCCACGGCUAACUACGUGCCAGCAGCCGCGGUAAUACGUAGGUGGCAAGCGUUAUCCGGAAUUAUUGGGCGUAAAGCGCGCGUAGGCGGUUUUUUAAGUCUGAUGUGAAAGCCCACGGCUCAACCGUGGAGGGUCAUUGGAAACUGGAAAACUUGAGUGCAGAAGAGGAAAGUGGAAUUCCAUGUGUAGCGGUGAAAUGCGCAAAGAUAUGGAGGAACACCAGUGGCGAAGGCGACUUUCUGGUCUGUAACUGACGCUGAUGUGCGAAAGCGUGGGGAUCAAACAGG
rnacentral:rRNA from 1 species